GCAGUCUUAAGAGCCUGAAAAACAGUUUCACAGUGGGGAGACCACAGGACCUGUCUGGGUAAGUUUUUCUUGGUCAGUGUGACGAGAGCAAUUUGGACUAUGGCCCCCGUGUUAAAAGACUUUGUUUUGCCUGCAGAAAAGCUUUAUUCGUGCUUUUCUCCCGGGUGUUCAGUAGAUUCAAUCUACCGAACAACCGCACGAAUGAAUAGACCACCUGGGAGCUGGAGUGUGCUGGCAAUUAACCUCCCUGAAGCUGCGGUUAAC